GAUGAACGCUAGCGAUAGGCUUAACACAUGCAAGUCGAGGGGCAGCAUGGUCUUAGCUUGCUAAGGCUGAUGGCGACCGGCGCACGGGUGCGUAACGCGUCUGCAACUUGCCUCACAGAGGGGGAUAACCCGUCGAAAGUCGGACUAAUACCGCGUACACUCUAUGUUGGGCGUCCAAUGUAGAGGAAAUGAAAUUCGCUGUACGAUCGGCAUGCGUCCCAUUAGCUAGUUGGUGAGGUUACGGCUCACCAAGGCGACGAUGGGUAGGGGAACUGAGCGGAUGAACCCCCACACGGGGACUGGGACACGGGCGAGAGUGCUACGGGAGGCAGCAGUGAGGAAGAUAGGACAGGGGACGAGAGCCUGAUCCGGCCAAGUCGCGUGAAGGAAGACUGUCUUAGGGAUUGUAAACUUCUUGUAGACGGGAAUAACAAGAGGCACGGGUGGCUCCGUGCAGGUACCGGAUGAAGAAGCAUCGGCUAACUCCGUG
rnacentral:rRNA from 1 species